rnacentral:rRNA from 1 species
UACGGGGGGGGCAAGCGUUGUUCGGAAUUACUGGGCGUAAAGGGCUCGUAGGCGGCCAACUAAGUCAAACGUGAAAUCCCUCGGCUUAACCGGGGAACUGCGCUUGAUACUGGAUGGCUUGAGAUUGGGAGAGGGAUGCGGAAUUCCAGGUGUAGCGGUGAAAUGCGUAGAUAUCUGGAGGAACACCGGUGGCGAAGGCGACAUCCUGGACCAACACUGACGCUGAGUGAGCGAAAGCCAGGGGAGCAAACGGG